rnacentral:misc_RNA from 1 species
GAAAUGCGAUAAGUAGUGUGAAUUGCAGAAUUCAGUGAAUCAUCGAAUCUUUGAACGCACAUUGCGCCCCUUGGUAUUCCAUGGGGCAUGCCUGUUCGAGCGUCAUCUACACCCUCAAGCUCUGCUUGGUGUUGGGCGUCUGUCCCGCCCCCGCGCGUGGACUCGCCCCAAAUCCAUUGGCAGCGUUCCUUGCCCCCUCUCGCGCAGCACAUUGCGCUUCUCGAGGGCGGCUCCGGGACGCGAUCCAGCAAGAUGACCACCGUCUUUGACCUCGGAUCAGGUAGAGAUACCCGCUGAACUUAAGC